AGCUCAAUGUUGCCCUGAGGCAACAAACCCAAAUCCGGUUCCGGGAGGUUUCAGGGUCCGAUUUUAUGAUUGAUAUGUAAUUAGGGACCAACAAGCUCUCAAAGAAUGCAGGAAAAUAUUUUUUCCCCCAAAAAAUAAAAAGUCAUGCCAUAGAGGGUUAAUUAACACAAAGCUUUAGCCUGUUAUAGCCGCAGGAGAGAAACUUGAUGUGUGAAUCAAACAUAAACUGGAGAUGCGCUUUUAUUUUGAAAAGAGAGCGCUAUAACUUGUGCAGGCUGGCUUUCCUGCCAUUUCCGAAGAGGUGGCUAGCUUUACUGCAUUGAUAGAUGGGGGUUCUGAUGCUGGCUGUCGGAUUCUAUCUAACACUUCUGAUAAUGCUGACAUUACUGUGGGAGCGUAACGAUGUUAUUUAAAAUAUUAGUUGCCUCUGUGAGUCGCUGCCGCUCAGCUAUUUUUCUGUCUGUGAAAACCCACCUACUCCUGCCUGGGGUCCAAUCAGAAACUGAGAUUUUAAGUUAACUUCCGUUGCAAUCAAACUCUGUCAGAGAGUUUGUAAGUUUUGGCCCAUGGGGCCUAUCAUAGUAAAAUGUUAAUCUCUCACUUCUGCCUCAAAAUCCUAUUUGGCUAGCAUUGCACCUCUUCUUGCAAACUAUGUGCCAGUUCCUUUUGGCUCAAUUGGUCAAUCCAUUAAGCAUGUCUGAAUGAAGAGCAUCACAUUAAUUCAAUUCGAAAAUACUUUAUUGUUUCUCAGGGGAAAUGAAAUGAGAUAAUUAAAAGAAGGGAACAGACUGAAUGAUGUUCCUCUGUCUGGUGGUACAGCUGAAGACAAGUGCCCAGUUAGUGCUGGUGAAACAAUGAGCAUGACAGCAGCAUGUCUCUGCUCAGUGACAGACUAUUUGCUGAAUUUGAAAUGAUCUCAAUAUUUUGUCCAUAUUUAAGGUUUGAAAAAGAUAUAGAAGACAUGCUGGGCCAUCGUCCUAAUUGGUUCUGGAAAAUCAUGUGGGGAGGAAUUAGCCCCCUACUUCUUAUCGGCCUCUUCCUGUUCUAUGUCAUUAACUACAUCCAAGGAGGAACACCCACCUACCAAGCAUGGAACAAAGAUCUGGGGAAAAGCGAGCAGACGGAGUAUCCUGUCUUUGGUCAGGCUUUCAUCGGACUGCUCUUGGUAUCUUCAGUGAGCUGUAUUCCCCUCACAGCUUUGUAUAUCUUCUGUCAGAGGAGGAAACAUGCACAGCGACAUAAGCAACAGCAUACUGUAAAUACAGUAGCUGCUUAGUGAUGGACGGUGACGGGGACAAACUUCUGACUGUGACCUUCCUGACACUGUCCUCAGCAGGGCUUUGCUCACCAGCUGGAAAGCAAGACGAUGGCUUCCACCAUGGAUUACAGAAUGGAACAGUGGCAAAAGAAUAACCAGGCAUUUGUGUUUGUUGAUGUUUGUUCAAAAAAAAAAAAAGAAAGAAAAAUGUACUAAUAUUUUUAUGUGAGCCAGAGCUUUUUAAGGUUUUCAUAAUGGAAAAGAACUUGAUGUUUUCUGAAUAAUGUGGUGUUUAGAGAAAUCCAGCUGCACAUAUAAAAUUUGUAUUCAUUUUUUCAUUAAUAUAUUUUUCACUGACUCACUGUUGCUUUGAGCCAAUCAACAACCUGUACACUACACUGAAGUAGAUUCAUUUGUUUCCAUCCACAGCAAGAAUCCACUGAUUAGCUUCAACUAGUUUAUACAUCUUUAAAUGUGACACCUUAUGCACCGUAGGUUUUACCAUGUUUGUGAAUAAAGCGUAGUUUAUGUAAUUACCAGAUGUUUUUAACAAAUAUAGUUGUAUUCAGUAUUUUAUACAAUAUUGGUUCCCUGUUUGUGUGAUAAUGACAUAUGUAGCUGUUGCCCACACAGUGAGCUAUUGUUUUUUAUUUCUCAUUUCAUAAACUUUUUAAAUUGUUUUAUUGUUAGUUUUGCACUAACUCCUCUGCACCAUGGUUUAUAGUUCAAAUCAGAGCUGAAGCCUUUCUCGUUUGUGUUAAAUAUGUGGGUCUUCUGGAAACCUGGAGACUAAAUGGUCUUUCUGUAAAUCUUCCCUGUGUCUUUGGGUGUGAGAUGGUUGUCAUUUAUCUGCGUUGUCACGGUGAUCGGGUGGUGACCUGCCCAACAUGUAUCCAACCUUUUGCUUGACAGCUGAGCUAUGUGCCAACUCCCCAUGACCCUAACAGGAUUUAGUUGGUUCAAAAAAUAAAUCACAUUUAACACACGUCAGAAAUUAGCAUUCUUUUACAGCAGAAUGUUAAUUUCUGCUGUAAAAUAAAUUGAUUCUCAGUCCAAUCUUACCAUUGACACAGAAUAUCCAACAUAUGGUAGUGAUUAUCAAACAAAAAGCAUUUUCUCACAUUUUGUUCAAUAUUUUCUUGGCAAUUGGGUAUUUUAAAUGAAUUGAGUUACAAUUUUAUUAUAACAUCACACCACUGUGGCUGAGUAUUUUUUAAAUCUCAAUGAGAAAAUUACAUGUUGGACAGAGAAUAAUUUGCUGAUUAAACAGUCUAAUAAUCUGAAAAUAACUUGUAUAAAAGUUUUGAAAAACAGAUUAUACAUUUCUUUCCAAAAUUGUCAUGUUAUAAUGAAUUACACCUUAAGAUUAGUUUUGUAUGUGCUAUUUUUAUUAGGACAAAUCCAUUAAAAUGUCAUGUAAAAAGA